GUGGGGAAUCUUGCGCAAUGGGCGAAAGCCUGACGCAGCCAUGCCGCGUGGAUGAUGAAGGUCUUAGGAUUGUAAAAUCCUUUCACCGGUGAAGAUAAUGACGGUAGCCGGAGAAGAAGCCCCGGCUAACUUCGCGCCAGCAGCCGCGGUAAUACGAAGGGGGCUAGCGUUGCUCGGAGUUACUGGGCGUAAAGGGAGCGUAGGCGGACAUUUAAGUCAGGGGUGAAAUCCCGAGGCUCAACCUCGGAACUGCCUGUAAUACUGUGUGUCUGGAGGGUGAGAGAGGUGAGUGGAACUCCGAGUGUAGAGAUGAAAUUAGUAGAUAUUCGGAAGAACACCAGUGGCGAAGGCGACAUACUGGUCCAUUACUGACGCUGAGGCUCGAAAGCGUGGGGAGCAAACAGGAUUAGAUACCCUAGUAGUCC
rnacentral:rRNA from 1 species